GUGAUACUGAGCAUCCACCUGUGUGAUUGGCACAAUGUGAAAGAGGGGAAAAGAGUGGAGGAGGAAGAGACAGGAGAGCUGAUAUGAAACUCUUGUUAUUUAUGAGGAUCACAAUCAAGAGUUUAAAGACAACCGGUCUCUGCUCCAGCCACACAGGACUUCUUCUAGUACCUUUACUACAUCAUGCCUCCCCUGCCUCAGGCUUCUGCUGGGAUGGAUCGAGCACAUUCACCCUAAAAUUCUGAUUCAGAAGAUCUGAGCCUUCUGAAAAAAAAGCAUUGAGAGCAUAAACCACUCAGAAGAUUUAUAGCUUAAAGCAGAUCACCUUAAGGUACUGGAAUCAGUCAGUGCUUAGAUGGAACAUUUUUUGAGGCCUACAUCUUCACUGAGUGCCCUUCUUCUCUAUUUCCUAUACUUCCUUGUUUCUUUCUGUUCCCACUGCAUCCCUUAUGGAUUUGUACAAAUAAUGCUGGGUUCUUUUCUUCACCCACAUGCAGCAGUUGCUGCUGGAUCAUAACCAUUCCUUCUAUUGGUUUUAAAAUCUGUUUUUCUCAGAUUCCUUACACUUGAAGGAAAAAAAAAAAGGACAUUUAGCCUGUUUUUCUUUUAAGCAAUAAAAAUUCUUCUCUCAGAGAAUGACUGCAAUAGGAAACACAGUGAAAUCAAAAGUACCCUCAUCAACUCACUCUGUCACAAACUUCCUCCAAAUGUGUUAAUGAUUUUCUGAGACACAUUUUCAAAGGAUUAUUUAUAAGAACGAGACAAAAUUAAGCCAAAGUCCAUAUUACGUGAAACUUCAUCUCCUAGGCUUUGUAAAGAAAAGCUAAAGGAUACAGGACACAUCUGACCCAGGAAUCUAAGCAAGUAACAUACUACCUGGCUAAUCCAGUUGAGGUGAAGGUCACAAUACUGAAUUUGAAUAUGCUGUGUUCUCUACUGUAAAUAAAGUAUUUUGUUUAUCUUUUCAUGCC
rnacentral:lncRNA from 1 species